rnacentral:lncRNA from 1 species
GAGGUUGCCGCCCCUCCCCCGGCGCCCCCGCCCCGGCCGCGCGGCCCCCAACUGCCGCCCGCCCGCCGGCAGGGAGCGGCUCCCAUCGCCGCCCAGGCGUUAGCGAAAAUCGCGCGCACAGAGAGGAGCUUUCUCCUCUGCUAAAAAUAGGCUAUAAAGGAGUCGGCCUCAUGAUGGCUCCUUGAUUCAAUUUGCUGCAAAUUCUUUCCUGAAAGCCUUCCCCGCCUCACAUCCACACGCACAAAAAGGGGGGUGUCGAGGCACGAAGGGCGCGAGAGGGGGAGCAGGCCGAGGUGCACAUUUUCGGGAGACAACAACAACAUAAUUAGGCACUUCUUGAGACUAUUCCUGUAUCUACUGAUUAGAAAGGAAGACCUUUGUCCCAUUCACUCUCUACCUCUUCCUGUUACCUCCCACGCCAACAUCUGAGAAUCUGGUAUGAUGUAUACUUGAAGACAUGUUUUGUGGGCAAAGAAGACAAUGUAUAGUAAUUCAGUUUCAUUUAUUAUGAAUUUGCAAACCUGGUUUUUCUUUAAGCUUUGAAAUUCAAGCUGCAAAUCUAACUCCCUAUUUUAAGAGAAUGUUAAUAAUGUGGUUAAUUAAAUUUCCUUGAAUUAUUAAACUGCAUUUAUACAUUCAAUCUCCUUUUUAAAAAAUUUUUUUUUGGUACCAGGGAUCAAACUUGGGACCUUGCGCUUGUGAGGCAGGCGGUGGAACCACUGAGCUAAAUCCCUAGCCCCAUUCAAUCUCCUUUUUAUUUUUUUUUCCUUUUUAAAAUACUUGAGUUAUUCAACAAAAGAAGCAUAAGUUAAGUAAUGCUUAUAAUUAUAACUAUAGUUAUAAAUAUAACUAUAAUCUUAAGAUCUCUUGAGCAUG